rnacentral:rRNA from 1 species
CCUACGGGCGGCAGCAGUGGGGGAUAUUGCACAAUGGGGGAAACCCUGAUGCAGCGACGCCGCGUGAGUGAAGAAGUAUUUCGGUAUGUAAAGCUCUAUCAGCAGGGAAGAAAAUGACAGUACCUGACCCAGAAGCUCCGGCUAACUACGUACCAGCAGCCGCGGUAAUACGUAGGGGCCAAGCGUUAUCCGGAUUUACUGGGUGGAAAGGGAGCGUAGACGGUUAUGUAAGUCUGGAGUGAAAGCCCGGGGCACAACCCCGGGACUGCUUUGGAAACUGUGUAACUGGAGUACAGGAGGGGAAGGCGGAAUUCCUGGUGUAGCGGUGAAAUGCGUAGAUAUCAGGAGGAACACCGGCGGCGAAGGCGGGCUGCUGGACUGAAACUGACGUUGAGGCUCGAAAGCGUGGGGAGCAAACAGGAUUAGAUACCCCUGUAGUC